AGUGAACGCUGGCGGCAGGCCUAACACAUGCAAGUCGAGCGGCAGCGCGGGGGCAACCCUGGCGGCGAGCGGCGGACGGGUGAGGAAUUCGUCGGAAUCUGCCUUUUUGUGGGGGAUAACGUAGGGAAACUUACGCUAAUACCGCAUACGUCCUACGGGAGAAAGUGGGGGACCGCAAGGCCUCACGCAGAAAGAUGAGCCGACGACCGAUUAGCUAGUUGGUGGGGUAAAGGCCCACCAAGGCGACGAUCGGUAGCUGGUCUGAGAGGAUGAUCAGCCACACUGGGACUGAGACACGGCCCAGACUCCUACGGGAGGCAGCAGUGGGGAAUAUUGGACAAAGGGCGCAAGCCUGAUCCAGCCAUGCCGCGUGUGUGAAGAAGGCCUUCGGGUUGUAAAGCACUUUUGUCCGGAAAGAAAUCCCUGAAGCUAAUACCUUCGGGGGAUGACGGUACCGGAAGAAUAAGCACCGGCUAACUUCGUG
rnacentral:rRNA from 1 species